rnacentral:lncRNA from 10 species
UGAAAACUGGGACUUAUAAGAAUACAGCUGAGCCUUGAACAACAUGGUAACUGCACAGGCCCACUUAUACAAGGAUUUUCUUCCAUUUCUGCCACCCCUGAGACAGCAUGACUAACUCCUCCUCUUCUCCCUUGUCCUCAUCUACAUGAAGAUGAUGAGGAUGAAGACCUUUAUGAUGGUCCACUUCCACUUAAUGACUAACAAAGUUUUGCUGUCGCCCAGGAUGGAGUACCAUGGCACUAUCUCGGCUCACCGCAACCUUCGCCUCCCGGGUUCAAGCAAUUCUCCUGCCUCAGCCUCCAGAGUAGCUGGAAUUACAGGUCUGCACCUAGCUAAAAUUUUUUGUAUAUUUAGUAGAGAUGGGGUUUCAUCAUGUUGGCCAGACUGGUCUUGAACUCCCAACCUCAGGUAAUCCGCCCGCCUCGGCCUCCCAAAGUGCUAGGAUUAUAGGCGUGAGCCACGAGUUUUUCUUCUGCAUCAUUUAUUACACAUAUUAGUGCUGAAUAUAUAUAUAUAAAUAUAUAUGAAUAUAUAUAAUAUAAAAAAAUAUAUAUAUAUAUAUAUAUUUUUUUUUUCCUUUCUCUUUCUAGAUGGAGUUUCGCUCUUUUUGCCCAAGCUGGAGUGCAAUGGCGCAAUCUCACCUCACUGCAACCUCCGCCUCCCGAGUUCAAGUGAUUCUUCUCCUGCUUCAGCCUACCGAGUAGCUGGGAUUACAGGCAUGUGCCACCACGCCUGGCUAUCUUGUAUUUUUAGUAGAGACGGGGUUUCUCCAUGUUGGUCAGGCUGGUCUCGAACUCCCAACCUCAGGUAAUCUGCCUGCCUCUGCCUCCCAAAGUGCUGAGAUUACAGGCGUGAGCCACAGCAUCCAGCCAAAUAUAUUUUUGAAGUCUUUUCUUUAGAAUUACAACCAAAGCAAUUGCUCUAGUGUAAUUUUUUCCCUCCUUUGAAAACUUUAUUUGUGGGGAGGGGGAAACAAACAAC